rnacentral:rRNA from 1 species
GACGAACGCUGGCGGCGUGCUUAACACAUGCAAGUCGAACGGUAAGGCCCUGCUUUUGUGGGGUACUCGAGUGGCGAACGGGUGAGUAACACGUGAGUAACCUGCCCUUGACUUUGGGAUAACUUCGGGAAACUGGGGCUAAUACCGGAUAGGAGCUCCCGCUGCAUGGUGGGGGUUGGAAAGUUUGGGCGGUUGGGGAUGGACUCGCGGCUUAUCAGCUUGUUGGUGGGGUAGUGGCUUACCAAGGCAGUGACGGGUAGCCGGCCUGAGAGGGUGACCGGCCACAUUGGGACUGAGAUACGGCCCAGACUCCUACGGGAGGCAGCAGUGGGGAAUAUUGCACAAUGGGCGGAAGCCUGAUGCAGCAACGCCGCGUGCGGGAUGACGGCCUUCGGGUUGUAAACCGCUUUCGCCUGUGACGAAGGGUGUGUGACGGUAAUGGGUAAAGAAGCACCGGCUAACUACGUG